GACGGAGGAUGCAAGUGUUAUCCGGAAUCACUGGGCGUAAAGCGUCUGUAGGUGGUUUCAAAAGUCCACUGUUAAAGAUUGAAGCUUAACUUCAAAAAUGCCGUGGAAACUUUGAAACUUGAGUAUGAUAGGGGUAGAGGGAAUUUCCAGUGGAGCGGUGAAAUGCGCAGAUAUCAGGAGGAACACCCGUAGCGAAGGCGGCACUCUGGGCCGAUUCUGACACUGAGGAGCGAAAGCGUGGGGAGCGAACAGG
rnacentral:rRNA from 1 species